GUCCAGGCCCACACCACCCUGAACACACCCAAUCUCUUCUCAUCUCAGAAGCUAGGCAGGGUCAGGCCUGGUUAGUCCUUGGAUGGGAGAACAGCUGGCAUUCAGAAAA
rnacentral:rRNA from 1 species